GGACGUUCGGUUCCGUUGGAAUAGGUUACCUUUUCACGCUAUGCCUUAAAACUUUUCCUGAUGCACAGGUAACCUAUUCCAACGGAACGUCCUAUCACCUUGUAUAUAGGAACUUGAGAGGAUUCCCGAGAUUAUCAUUUAUGCAAUGCUUGCUCACAAAAUGCUAGGGGAGGCCAACCCCGGAUUCCAUCCCCUUCGACCCGCCACAGAAUACAGAUAUAAUUGAUAAUUGUUAUUUAAAAGUCAUAUACUAUAGCCACUAUAUAGUACUAGAACCGAACACCUGUUUUGGGAUAUAUAUACAUACACCACAUCUUCCUAUGUCUAUAUAGCUGAUUUACCGUAAAUAACUGCGAGAAAAUGAAUAAUACACAAGUUGAUAAUUGUCUCUUCUCUGCUAAUUUUAAUGUGCAUGCAAUAUUCACUCUGAUUUACUUGUGAGACCACCGACACUAAUAAUAAUUACCUACAAAAUAAUAGGUGCUCCUUUACUGGGAAGAACAUUUCGGAUCCGAUCAAUUUAUUGGUUCCAUUCCCCCAUUCUACACUUCUCCUUAGAAAAAAUGCCUUGCAAUGCGUCAUAAUUAUCUGGACUACUAACUUACUUCCAUAUAACUUCGAAAACAGACUAUAAUCUAUUUCACUGGAUGAGAUUGGGCUCACAGAUUUUUUAAUGGAUUGGUAAUUUUAUUUAAAGCACAAGUUUACAAAGCAAGAUUAAUCACAUUUUUCACCCGGCCUACACAUCAAAUGGUUGCCUCCUUACUGACUUACACCUACACAAGCUAAACAAACAUGUGACAACUCUUCACCAAUGACCUGAGUGAAAGGUUGACGGGGGGA
rnacentral:lncRNA from 1 species